AUUGAACGCUGGCGGCCGGCCUAACACAUGCAAGUCGAACGAGUGGCGGACGGGUGAGUAAUGUCUGUGACACUGCCUGAUGGAGGGGGAUAACUACUGGAAACGGUCGCUAAUACCUCCUACCAUCAGAUGUGCCCAGAUGGGAUUAGCUAGUUGGUGGGGUAACGGCUCACCAAGACGACGAUCCCUAGCUGGUCUGAGAGGAUGACCAGCCACACUGGACCUGAGACACGGUCCAGACGCCCACGGGAGGCAGCAGUGGGGAAUAUUGCAAAAUGGGCGCAAGCCUGAUGCAGCCAUGCCGCGUGUAUGAAGAAGGCCUUCGGGUUGUAAAGUACUUUCAGCGGGGAGGCGGUACCCGCAGAAGAAGCACCGGCUAACUCCGUGCCAGCAGCCGCGGUAAUUC
rnacentral:rRNA from 1 species